rnacentral:tRNA from 1 species
AGCCUCGAGGUGUUUACACGUCAAAUUGCAAGUUUGAAGUAGGGCUACGCAGGCCCCGGGGCUU